AGUGAACGCUGGCGGUAGGCCUAACACAUGCAAGUCGAACGGCAGCACAGUAAGAGCUUGCUCUUACGGGUGGCGAGUGGCGGACGGGUGAGGAAUACAUCGGAAUCUACUUUUUCGUGGGGGAGAACGUAGGGAAACUUACGCUAAUACCGCAUACGACCUACGGGUGAAAGCAGGGGAUCUUCGGACCUUGCGCGAUUGAAUGAGCCGAUGUCGGAUUAGCUAGUUGGCGGGGUAAAGGCCCACCAAGGCGACGAUCCGUAGCUGGUCUGAGAGGAUGAUCAGCAACACUGGAACUGAGACACGGUCCAGACUCCUACGGGAGGCAGCAGUGGGGAAUAUUGGACAAUGGGCGCAAGCCUGAUCCAGCCAUACCGCGUGGGUGAAGAAGGCCUUCGGGUUGUAAAGCCCUUUUGUUGGGAAAGAAAGGCAGCAGGUUAAUACCCCGCUGUUCUGACGGUACCCAAAGAAUAAGCACCGGCUAACUUCGUG
rnacentral:rRNA from 1 species